rnacentral:tRNA from 1 species
AGCAGCGUGGCUUAGUGGAAAGAGGACAGGUUUGGGAGUCUGAGAUCAUGGGUUCUAAUCCCAGCGCUGCCA